UACGUAGAGGGCAAGCGUUAUCCGGAAUUACUGGGUGUAAAGGGUGAGUAGGCGGCAUGGUAAGCCAGAUGUGAAAGCCUUGGGCUUAACCCGAGGAUUGCAUUUGGAACUAUCAAGCUAGAGUACAGGAGAGGAAAGCGGAAUUCCUAGUGUAGCGGUGAAAUGCGUAGAUAUUAGGAAGAACACCAGUGGCGAAGGCGGCUUUCUGGACUGAAACUGACGCUGAGGCACGAAAGCGUGGGGAGCGAACAGG
rnacentral:rRNA from 1 species